CCUACGGGAGGCAGCAGUCGAGAAUCAUUCACAAUGGGGGAAACCCUGAUGGUGCGACGCCGCGUGGGGGAAUGAAGGUCUUCGGAUUGUAAACCUCUGUCAGCAGGGAAGAACGGUCACUGUGCUAAUCAGCAGUGAAUUGACGGUACCUGCAAAGGAAGCACCGGCUAACUCCGUGCCAGCAGCCGCGGUAAUACGGAGGGUGCGAGCGUUAAUCGGAAUUAUUGGGCGUAAAGCGCUCGUAGGCGGUAUGUCAAGUCAAGGGUGAAAUGCCCGCGCUCAACGUGGGAACUGCCUUGGAAACUGGCAAACUGGAGUGUGUGAGAGGAUAGUGGAAUUCCAGGUGUAGGAGUGAAAUCCGUAGAUAUCUGGAGGAACAUCAGUGGCGAAGGCGACUAUCUGGCACAUAACUGACGCUGAGGAGCGAAAGCGUGGGUAGCAAACAGGAUUAGAUACCCCUGUAGUC
rnacentral:rRNA from 1 species